GCGCCUGUAGCUCAGCUGGAUAGAGCAACGGACUUCUAAUCCGUAGGCCGGGGGUCCGAAUCCCUCCAGGCGCGCCA
rnacentral:tRNA from 1 species